UAAUACGUAGGGGGCGAGCGUUGUCCGGAAUUAUUGGGCGUAAAGCGCGCGCAGGCGGUUUUUUAAGUUCGUGGUGAAAGACCGGGGCUCAACCCCGGAGCGUCCGCGAAGACUGGAAGACUGGAGUGUCGGAGAGGAGUGCGGAAUACCUGGUGUAGCGGUGGAAUGCGUAGAGAUCAGGUGGAACACCGAUGGCGAAGGCAGCACUCUGGCCGAAUACUGACGCUGAGGCGCGAAAGCGUGGGGAGCGAACGGGAUUAGAUACCCCGGUAGUCCACGCCGUAAACGAUGACGACUAGGUGUGGGGGGCGCAAGCCUUCCGUGCCGCAGCUAACGCAUGAAGUCGUCCGCCUGGGGAGUACGGCCGCAAGGUUG
rnacentral:rRNA from 1 species